AACGAACGCUGGCGGCAUGCCUAACACAUGCAAGUCGAACGAUCCCUUCGUGGCUGUUGUCUCACGGGUGCGUAACGCAUGGGAACCGGCCCUGAGGGUCAGAAUAACUUAGAGAAAUUUGAGCUAAUACCGGAUAAUUUCUUCGGACCGAUGAUUUAUCGCCUUUGGAUGUGCCGGCGUUUGAUUGGCUAGUUGGUGGUGUAAAGGCCUACCAAGGCGACGAUCCAUAGCUGGGAUGAGAGGAUGAUCAGCCACACUGGGACUGAGACACGGCCCAGACCCAUACGGGAGGCAGCAGUGGGGAAUAUUGGACAAUGGGAGAAAGACUGAUCCAGCAAUGCCGCGUGAGUGAUGAAGGCCUUAGGGUUGUAAAGCUCUUUUACACGGGAUGCUAAUGACAGUACCGGGAGAAUAAGCCACGGCUAACUACGUG
rnacentral:rRNA from 1 species